rnacentral:rRNA from 1 species
CAGUCGCCGCGGGAAUACGGAGGGUGCAAGCGUUAAUCGGAAUUACUGGGCGUAAAGCGCACGCAGGCGGUCUGUCAAGUCAGAUGUGAAAUCCCCGGGCUUAACCUGGGAACUGCAUUUGAAACUGGCAGGCUAGAGUCUUGUAGAGGGGGGUAGAAUUCCAGGUGUAGCGGUGAAAUGCGUAGAGAUCUGGAGGAAUACCGGUGGCGAAGGCGGCCCCCUGGACAAAGACUGACGCUCAGGUGCGAAAGCGUGGGGAGCAAACAGGAUUAGAUACCCCUGUAGUCCCUGUCUCUUAUAU